GGGGCAGUUUGAGAAGAGAAAGGUUUGAAAUGAUGUUUGCAGAGAUACGGAAGACAAACGACUCUAGAGAAAUGUAGUAGAUUCCCAGGCAAUGUUGAGCCCAGUUGAGAAAGGAAGGAAGAAAGAAGACAGAAGUCCCUAUGAAAACAACAGCCAAAAUCUAAUCUCUUCCUCUGAUGUUUGCCUUAACAUUACAACCAGUAAUUUUCCCACCAUCACCUCAGCAAAGGCAUCCAAUCGUUGAAUAUCUUUAGUUGCAGUCCAGGGAAGAGGACGGAGGCAGAAGGCUGUCUGAAUCCGUGCUACUCAGUGUGGGCUGAAGACCAGGGCUGGGCCAUGAUCUGUUUGUUGCCAGCUUGUGGCAAGGCAUGACUUUGCAGCUCCUCUGAAAUCUGACUCUGUGUCCACAUCUACAGGCUCCUCCUGACACAGCAUCUCCUAAGCACAGUCCCAACAGGUACCAUUCACAGCCUUAAGGUGGGACCCGAACAGUGAAUGCUUACUGGAUCCUAACAACUGUUGCCUUCUCUUCUGCUUGCUCACACGCCAUUGUUUUAACAGUCAGCCAAUCCACUCUACUCCAUUCCUAUGACAGAAAGAAGCAAGAGGGAGCCUUCCACAAAGAAAGUGGGAGUGAGUGGGAGACUGAGAAAGGAGAGGAGCACGCACAUUGGAACUACUCUGUUGAUGUGAGAAACAUGUCACAGAAGCUGAGGCUUGUUAAGCCAAAGAUGAUACAAAUGUAUCUCCAUGUGUAUUGCCAGGAACCAAAGCUUUGUGUAAAUGUUGCGUAUAGAAGGAAGGAGGGUGAGAAAGUGCGCACCUGUCUGGAUUCAUCCCUUCCCUUCAUCCCUGACUUGCAGCUCCCUUGGGCCUGGGUGACUCCCUCACUGGGGUACAUUUAUCUGAUGGUUGAUUCUGCUGUAAUGGGUUCUUCCUUUCCUUCCCCUAUUGUUUCAUGACAUAUGCUAACCCUCUCCUCCAUCCCCUCUUUUUUCCAUGGGAAAAUACUAUAAAUGAAUAAAGACACAUUACUACU